rnacentral:rRNA from 1 species
AUUGAACGCUGGCGGCAGGCCUAACACAUGCAAGUCGGACGGUAGCACAGAGAGCUUGCUCUUGGGUGACGAGUGGCGGACGGGUGAGUAAUGUCUGGGGAUCUGCCCGAUAGAGGGGGAUAACCACUGGAAACGGUGGCUAAUACCGCAUAACGUCGCAAGACCAAAGAGGGGGACCUUCGGGCCUCUCACUAUCGGAUGAACCCAGAUGGGAUUAGCUAGUAGGCGGGGUAAUGGCCCACCUAGGCGACGAUCCCUAGCUGGUCUGAGAGGAUGACCAGCCAAACUGGAACUGAGACACGGUCCAGACUCCUACGGGAGGCAGCAGUGGGGAAUAUUGCACAAUGGGCGCAAGCCUGAUGCAGCCAUGCCGCGUGUAUGAAGAAGGCCUUCGGGUUGUAAAGUACUUUCAGCGGGGAGGAAGGCGAUGUGGUUAAUAACCGCGUCGAUUGACGUUACCCGCAGAAGAAGCACCGGCUAACUCCGUGCCAGCCGCCGCCGUAA